GUGUCAGCAGCCGCGGUAAUACGUAGGUGGCAAGCGUUGUCCGGAAUUAUUGGGCGUAAAGAGCGUGUAGGCGGGUAUUUAAGUCAGAUGUGAAAACUUGGGGCUCAACCUCAUAGACUGCAUUUGAAACUGGAUACCUUGAGGGUAAGAGAGGGCAGUGGAAUUCCUAGUGUAGCGGUGAAAUGCGUAGAUAUUAGGAGGAACACCAGUGGCGAAGGCGACUGCCUGGCUUACAACUGACGCUGAGACGCGAAAGCGUGGGGAGCAAACAGGAUUAGAUACCCUGGUAGUCCACGCCGUAAACGAUGGGUACUAGGUGUAGGAGGUAUCGACCCCUUCUGUGCCGCAGUUAACACAUUAAGUACCCCGCCUGGGGAGUACGGCCGCAAGGUUGAA
rnacentral:rRNA from 1 species